GGAGAAGCUCGGCGCGGCGUGGAGGCGGGUUCGAGGAGCUGCGCCUGCGCAGGACGUACUGCUUUGAAGGAGGGCGGGGGAGCGUUAACCUCCGCGCCUGCGCGCUGGGAGUCGUUUCCCGAGGUAGGAGCAAGGUGGCUUCGCGGCAUCCGGAAAAGGUUCUUCUCUCCCCAUUUUUCUACUAGCAAACAAGGAACUUAAAUUUUAUAACGGAUUUUUGCCGAUAGAGCUAUCUGGGUUUGGAAAAGCGGUUUGACCAGUUGACUCCAGGAAAGGUAUGCGUGCAUUGAGGACAUUCUUCGCGGAGGUGGAGGGGUGUCGGUGGACGGUUUGAAGAUCCUGAAGCCCUGAAAUUCUUCCCCAAGUUUUGGAGGAGCUACUGUUGUUUUGGUGUAACUCUGGUAAAUAAAUUGGUACCUGAUGAUCAAUCUGCA